UACGUAGGGGGCAAGCGUUGUCCGGAAUCAUUGGGCGUAAAGAGCGUGUAGGCGGCUCGAUAAGUCUGCUGUGAAAGUCCAGGGCUCAACCCUGGAAGGCCGGUGGAAACUGUCGGGCUAGAAUCCGGAAGAGGCGAGUGGAAUUCCCGGUGUAGCGGUGAAAUGCGCAGAUAUCGGGAGGAACACCAAUGGCGAAGGCAGCUCGCUGGGACGGUAGUUGACGCUGAGACGCGAAAGCGUGGGGAGCAAACAGGG
rnacentral:rRNA from 1 species